rnacentral:rRNA from 1 species
UACAGAGGGUGCAAGCGUUGUUCGGAAUUAUUGGGCGUAAAGGGCGCGUAGGCGGUGCGGUAAGUCUGUAGUGAAAUCUCUGGGCUCAACUCAGAGUCUGCUGCAGAAACUGCCGUGCUUGAGUGUGGGAGAGGUGAGUGGAAUUCCCGGUGUAGCGGUGAGAUGCGUAGAUAUCGGGAGGAACACCUGUGGCGAAAGCGGCUCACUGGACCACAACUGACGCUGAGGCGCGAAAGCUAGGGGAGCAAACAGG